GAUGAACGCUGGCGGCGUGCCUAAUACAUGCAAGUCGAGCGAACAGACGAGGAGCUUGCUCCUCUGACGUUAGCGGCGGACGGGUGAGUAACACGUGGAUAACCUACCUAUAAGACUGGGAUAACUUCGGGAAACCGGAGCUAAUACCGGAUAAUAUAUUGAACCGCAUGGUUCACUAGUGAAAGACGGUUUUGCUGUCACUUAUAGAUGGAUCCGCGCCGCAUUAGCUAGUUGGUAAGGUAACGGCUUACCAAGGCAACGAUGCGUAGCCGACCUGAGAGGGUGAUCGGCCACACUGGAACUGAGACACGGUCCAGACUCCUACGGGAGGCAGCAGUAGGGAAUCUUCCGCAAUGGGCGAAAGCCUGACGGAGCAACGCCGCGUGAGUGAUGAAGGUCUUCGGAUCGUAAAACUCUGUUAUUAGGGAAGAACAAAUGUGUAAGUAACUAUGCACGUCUUGACGGUACCUAAUCAGAAAGCCACGGCUAACUACGUG
rnacentral:rRNA from 1 species